rfam:Schistosoma curassoni strain Dakar, Senegal genome assembly, scaffold: SCTD_scaffold0000067
CCACUGCUGACGAGUGCCGUAUUAGGACGAAACGACCGUCCAGUGC